CAUGCUCACGAUCAGCUGAUAGCUCACCUGUCAUGUCAGGGUUGAGAGGAGGAGAAGGACGUUGCGCAGAAUUUCUCCGGAUUUUGGUGUGAAAUUUGGGGGGGGACCCUUUUCUGUUGCUGAUUUGCUGCCGAGUGAGGUCAAGAACAGACUAACCGCUAGAAGUCAAAUUAUUUAUUGAAGCAUUUCCUCAACAUUCGUGACCAAUGAACUCUCCCAUUGGAUUGUGUGAUUUCCUUUCUUGAUUUUUUUUUUCCCCGCUCUUUUUACAAUGGUCCGAGGGAGAUGAAUCCCAGUUGCGAGAGGGUCAUUGAGUGAGGAAGGAGAUUGACGUCUGUUGAAACCAAGCAUUUUACUUAAAG